ensembl:miRNA MIR302B microRNA 302b
GCUCCCCUCCACUUUAACAUGGAAAUGCUCUCUGUGACCUAAGCAGUAAGUGCUUCCAUGUUUUAGUAGAGGU